rnacentral:lncRNA from 1 species
GCUUUGUUGCCAUUCUAACGUUGUCUGUAAAAGGAUAACAAUAACGUUGGUUGAUGAGCACUUGAUGAAUCAUGCUGAGGGUCAUGAGUGUCCUAGAUGGGAUUUGUCCCUCCUCAUAAACAGGAGAUAUAUCUUUAGGCCUCUUGAUGAAAUAUGACUAUAAAUAUGCAUGGCCAUGCCGAACUAAGUCAAUAUAAGAUAUUGGACUUAUUCGUUAAAUAGUAUAUUUCGGAAUCAAGAUAAAUGAACAUUGAUCUAUACAAGGGUGACACUAUCUAUGCCUUGGGAUCAAUGAAGAUAUUGAGACAAAGGGGUAAUUAUACACAUAUGUAUUAUCAUGAAAGGUUUCGUCAGAUCACUUGA